rnacentral:rRNA from 1 species
GACGAACGCUGGCGGCGUGCCUAAUACAUGCAAGUCGAACGAAGUGGCGAACGGGUGAGUAACGCGUAAUCAACCUGCCCUUCAGAGGGGGACAACAGUUGGAAACGACUGCUAAUACCGCAUACUGAAGGAGGGGAUUGCGUCUGAUUAGCUAGUUGGAGGGGUAACGGCCCACCAAGGCGAUGAUCAGUAGCCGGGCUGAGAGGAUGAACGGCCCACUUGGGACGUGGACACGGGCCAGAAUCCUACGGGAGGCAGCAGUGGGGAAACUUCCGCAAUGGACGAAAGUCUGAAGGAGCAACGCCGGGUGAGUGAGGACGGCCUUCGGGUUGGAAAGCUCUGUUAAGCGGGACGCGGUACCGGAAUAGAAAGCAACGGCUAACUACGUGCCAGCAGCCGCGGUAAUUC